GAUGAACGCUGGCGGCGUGCUUAACACAUGCAAGUCGAACGGGAUCCCAGGGGUGCUUGCACUUUUUGGUGAGAGUGGCGAACGGGUGAGUAACACGUGAGUAACCUGUCCUUUUCUUUGGGAUAAGCAUUCGAAAGGGUGUUUAAUACCUUAUGUUCUGUCUGCCUCGCAUGGGGUGGGUGGGAAAGGCUUUGGCCGGAUUUGGGUGGGCUCGCGGUCUAUCAGCUUGUUGGUGGGGUGAUGGCUUACCAAGGCUUUGACGGGUAGCCGGCCUGAGAGGGUGGUCGGUCACAUUGGGACUGAGAUACGGCCCAGACUCCUGCGGGAGGCAGCAGUGGGGGAUAUUGCACAAUGGGCGAAAGCCUGAUGCAGCGACGCCGCGUGGGGGAUGAAGGCCUGCGGGUUGUAAACUUCUUUUGCUCUGAACAAGGCAUGCCAGUGGGUGUGUUGAGUGUAGGGGUUGAUUAGCGCCGGCUAACUACGUG
rnacentral:rRNA from 1 species